AUGCCGGGAAAACAAAAUGCAACUUCCCUCUGUCAGGAGCUUCAGCCGAGCCUGCUCACGGGCCGUCUCCGUCGUCAGUUGCAACGAUGUCCCAGCCUUACAUCCACUUCCCUCCGCCGAAGCAAACGCACACACCAACCUAAGCUACCGCUGACUACCCCUUCGCUCCGAACCUUCGAAGGGAUUCCACAACACCGCUCAGCCUCUGCCAAUCCGCGGAACACAAGCCCCAUGGUCGCAUCUUCCACGAGGCUCCUUCGCUCAGCCGUCAUCGUCGCCUUGUAG